rnacentral:rRNA from 1 species
CACGUAGGGUGCGAGCGUUGUCCGGAAUUAUUGGGCGUAAAGAGCUCGUAGGCGGUGUGUCGCGUCGGCCGUGAAAACUUGCAGCUUAACUGUGGGCGUGCGGUCGAUACGGGCAUCACUGGAGUUCGGCAGGGGAGACUGGAAUUCCUGGUGUAGCGGUGAAAUGCGCAGAUAUCAGGAGGAACACCGGUGGCGAAGGCGGGUCUCUGGGCCGAUACUGACGCUGAGGAGCGAAAGCGUGGGGAGCGAACAGG